rnacentral:lncRNA from 1 species
UUCUCGACUUGAUUAACCUUGUUUGGGUGCAUUAUUUUGCGAGACCUCUCUAAAAAGAUGAAGUCUCUAUUAUGAAGAAUUUACUAAUCUAUUUAAGUUUUCAUAAAAUUAAGCAGGCCAUGCAUUGGAAAAUUUAUUAAAUUUCCCCUUGUUACCUCAGCAAUUUUGAUGGUCCUCUAUGAUGCUCCAUCAAAGCUGAUAGGGAGCAAUCUCAUGACCAUUUUGGAGCAAGUUCUAACUUGAUCGUGCUUCACACUAAUACCUGGUUUGUCAGUUUAAAGAGGCAUUUGUUGAAGACUGAUUCAAACUUUGACAGCAUGUUUUUCGGAAGGCUUAUCUCUUUGUUAGUUGGUUUCUAGGCGAAACUUAUCUCUUUGCUAGUUUGUUUCUAGAUAGGACUUAUCUCUUAGUUUUCUGGUUUAUGGUUCUUAUCUGGUUGUUUAGUGUUUCCACUGGUUGUAAGCCUAUAAAGAGGCAUUAUCUGUUAUGAAGUUUGUGUGCUGAAAAAUAUCCUCUGUUUUCCUCUGUUUCUAGAAAAUAAAACAAGUCUUCCAUUCAUAUUUGUUAUCUAUCACUACUUCUUCCCAACAAUUUGUGGUAUCAGAGCUUGGUUUCGAUCAUACUUGGGCGAAACAUUGCAAGUGAAAGGAGAUCUCUGCAAAUCAGAUUUAAGCUUAUCUCA